rnacentral:misc_RNA from 1 species
GUAGGUGAACCUGCGGAAGGAUCAUUAACAAAAGAGUGUGUGAAUGAGUUGUGGGGGGGGGGUGUGUGGUGUGUGUGUGUGUGUGUGGGGGGGUAGUUUGCUGCUCUGUGCGUGUGCGUGUGUGGGGGCUGUGGAGGGGGUAUACUCACUCUUGAGGGGGUACUCUCUUGGCUCUCUUAUGCCUGCCUGCCUGCCUGCCUGCCUGACUCUACUGUGCAUACAUACAUACAUACAUGUACUCUCGCGCUCAUUCAUGUACAUUAACCCGGGCCGAGCAAGUGGUGGUGGAAGCGCCAUGACUUACUAGUCCCGAUACAUUCACGCUUGUUUGUAUGACAGAGUUAUCAUGUGAUGUGAAGAGAGUAUAUACAACUUUUAACAAUGGAUCUCUUGGCUCUU